rnacentral:rRNA from 1 species
AACGGGGAGGAAGAACCACAGGGAUUACCUCAGUAACGGCGAGUGAAGCGGUAACAGCUCAAAUUUGAAAUCUGGCCUCACGGUCCGAGUUGUAAUUUGUAGAGGAUGCUUCGAGCAUGGUCUGGCCUAAGUUCCUUGGAACAGGACGUCAUAGAGGGUGAGAAUCCCGUAUGCGGCCAGGAGUCGAGUUGUUUGGGAAUGCAGCUCAAAAUGGGUGGUAAAUUUCAUCUAAAGCUAAAUAUUGGCCAGAGACCGAUAGCGCACAAGUAGAGUGAUCGAAAGAUGAAAAGCACUUUGGAAAGAGAGUUAAACAGUACGUGAAAUUGUUGAAAGGGAAGCGCUUGCAACCAGACUUGCGCGCGGCCGAUCAUCCGGUGUUCUCACCGGUGCACUCGGCCGUGCUCAGGCCAGCAUCGGUUUUGGCGGCUGGAUAAAGGCCCUAGGAAUGUAGCUCCUCUCGGGGAGUGUUAUAGCCUAGGGUGCAAUGCAGCCUGCUGGGACCGAGGACCGCGCUUCGGCUAGGAUGCUGGCGUAAUGGUUGUAAGCGGCCCGUCUUGAAACACGGACCAAGGAGUCUAACAUCUAUGCGAGUGUUUGGGUGUCAAACCCAUACGCGUAAUGAAAGUGAACGGAGGUGAGAACCCUUAAGGGUGCAUCAUCGACCGGUCCUGAAGUUUACGGAAGGAUCUGAGUAAGAGCAUAGCUGUUGGGACCCGAAAGAUGGUGAACU